rnacentral:misc_RNA from 1 species
GUAGGUGAACCUGCGGAAGGAUCAUUAAUGAAACUUCAAGUCGGCCAUUCUGUGCUGGUGGAAACACAUGUGCACGUUUGGUCGCAAUCCACACACCUGUGCACUUUGACUCUGAGCACCGCCGGUAACAUGGCAAAAGGUUGUAUGACUAAGGUCUGAACCCGGUACUCGAGUAUUUUACACACUCUGAAUGUAAUGGAAUGUCACUGUACAAUGUACAAUUAUAAACAACUUUCAACAACGGAUCUCU